UGCUAAUACCGGAUAACAAACAGAUGAUGCCUAUCAACUGUUUAAAAGAUGGUUCUGCUAUCACUCUUGGAUGGACCUGCGGUGCAUUAGCUAGUUGGUAGGGUAACGGCCUACCAAGGCGAUGAUGCAUAGCCGAGUUGAGAGACUGAUCGGCCACAUUGGGACUGAGACACGGCCCAAACUCCUACGGGAGGCAGCAGCU
rnacentral:rRNA from 1 species